UACAGAGGUCUCAAGCGUUGUUCGGAUUCAUUGGGCGUAAAGGGUGCGUAGGCGGCGUGGUAAGUCGGAUGUGAAAUCUCGGAGCUUAACUCCGAAACUGCAUUCGAUACUGCCGUGCUUGAGGACUGGAGAGGAGACUGGAAUUUACGGUGUAGCGGUGAAAUGCGUAGAUAUUCGGAGGAACACCAAAGGCGAAGGCAGUGUCCUGGGGAGCAUCUGACGCUCAGGUGCGAAAGCUAGGGGAGCGAACGGGG
rnacentral:rRNA from 1 species